rnacentral:tRNA from 1 species
GCUUAAAUAGCUUAUUUGAAGAGCAUAACAUUGAAGAUGUUAAGGAAAUAAAUAUUAUUUUUAAGUA